UACGUAGGGUGCAAGCGUUAAUCGGAAUUACUGGGCGUAAAGCGUGCGCAGGCGGUUUGUUAAGACGGAUGUGAAAUCCCCGGGCUCAACCUGGGAACUGCAUUCGUGACUGGCAGGCUAGAGUAUGGCAGAGGGGGGUGGAAUUCCACGUGUAGCAGUGAAAUGCGUAGAUAUCUGGAGGAACACCGGUGGCGAAGGCGGCAUCCUGGACCGGCAUUGACGCUGAGGCGCGAAAGCCAGGGGAGCAAACGGG
rnacentral:rRNA from 1 species